CCUACGGGAGGCUGCAGUGGGGAAUAUUGCACAAUGGGGGAAACCCUGAUGCAGCGACGCCGCGUGAGUGAAGAAGUAUUUCGGUACGUAAAGCUCUAUCAGCAGGGAAGAAAAUGACGGUACCUGACUAAGAAGCCCCGGCUAACUACGUGCCAGCAGCCGCGGUAAUACGUAGGGGGCAAGCGUUAUCCGGAUUUCCUGGGUGUAAAGGGAGCGUAGACGGCAGCGCAAGUCUGGAGUGAAAUCCCAUGGCUUAACCAUGGAACUGCUUUGGAAACUGUGCAGCGAGAGUGCAGGAGAGGUAAGCGGAAUUCCUAGUGUAGCGGUGAAAUGCGUAGAUAUUAGGAGGAACACCAGUGGCGAAGGCGGCUUACUGGACUGUAACUGACGUUGAGGCUCGAAAGCGUGGGGAGCAAACAGGAUUAGAUACCCUAGUAGUC
rnacentral:rRNA from 1 species